rnacentral:tRNA from 1 species
UCCCUGGUGGCUCAGAUGGUAAAGAAUCUGCCUGCAAUGCAGGAGACUUGGGUUCAAUCCCUGGUUUGGGAA